AUUUAUUUUUCUAUUGGGAGAUUAAAGAACCUCAAGGACUGGAUUUGGGGGAAAUUUCUGGUUUUGAUUAUGGAUUCUAUGGAGCGGUGAAGAGUUAUUGGUGCAUCAAUCAAAACGUUAGGGUUCUCCAUCACGAUGGGUUGAAUUGAUAAGUUGAUGUGUCGGCCUAGUCUUGCAUUAGUUUUGGUUUUAUAUUUUCUUUUUGGUUCAAUAUACCAUUAUAUUGCCAAUGUAGUUGUCUUUAAUAAUGGAUAUAGCUGAAUAAGGCCCUCUAAGAAUAUCUUUGGUCUUCGUAUUAGACUGUUUUGUUUAGUAGGCGCAGUUAUAUGUAAUUAAUUACGUUGAGUUGGGUAGUCAGUUUGUGUUGUACUAUGUGCAAUAGGUCUUCUUGGAUAACAUGUUCCUUAUCUUGAAUCACCAUGGUAAGUGAAAUCUGUGUAUCUGGUUGAGCUUUUAAAGAAUGUUUCAUCUGGUUUACGGUUUAUUUGAUGUCGUGCAAUGUUUGCUUCUCAUUAUUUUAUUAUUAAUGCCACUAGAAGGAUAAGUAAAAUUAGUUUUCCUUAUUGUUAUAUUAAAUUUUACAGAAGUAGUUUGUUCUUGAAUAAUAUAGCUCGAAUGAUUUUGAAGUAGUUGUGCAGAAGUUUAGAAAUUUGUCACACCAAGAGUUUACUAGCGCUUGAAAUUGAUUGUUAUCAUCAGAAUCUUUUAGGACAUGCAUUAUACAUGUCUUUGACCUAUAACCAAAGGCGGAAAAAAAAAAGUCCAGAUGGUUAUUUUCAUCUCUUUUCUUAACCACCAAUUUAUUAUGGGCCAGGAUAAACUAGAUCAGGCCACAGCUAGCCAGGUCAUCUAAGAAGUUGGGACUUUGUCCAAUCCGUCCAAUCCUAGUCUCAAAUGCUAUCAGGCUGAUCCAAUCCCUUGAUUCUUGUUUUUUGGGUUUUUUUGUAUAUUCUUUAAAGGUUCAACUGGUUGCAGAUGCUAAUUUGUGCGUAAAUUUAAUCAAGCAGAAAUAAAGUUAGUUUUGGCUGAUUUGCACGAGUGAUUCUUAUUUUUAGCUGAUCUUUGAUUCGGAGGCUUCAAGUUAGGUUGAGGUCUAAAUUCUCUCGAACUGUUUUAAACUCUCUUUCUAUAUAUACACAGAGAAGGAUGAUGGAGCAGGAAAUGAACUAUAAUACACAAGAAAGCAUUUGUGGCCUCGAUAUUUUCCUUUCAAAUUAAUGAAGGAAUACUUGGACAGGAAAUCAGCACCAUCAAAUAUAAUCUGGUGGUUUUUACAAUUUUUUUCCAGUGCAUUUAUUAGAUGACCUGAUCCAUCGUAAGUAUCAUUGGUGCGCAGCCAGCUGGGUAUCAAUAAGAGUGUUUUGUUGACUAUAAUGUGUAGCGAUGUUCUGCAAUCUUAUUUGGAUUGAACUAGAAUAUGUUGUGACUUAAACUGGAUGUUUUAGCAUAUGUGAAUUAAGUGAUACGUUAGAUAGCCCUGUCGGGUUCCUUAGUUUGCUUGAUGAUACACUUUUUCCUGAAUGGUGGUAUGAUGAUACCAGGAGACGAAAAUUAGUAUUGUUUUUCUGAGCUAAGUUUUGGAUCAGAAGUACAUUCCGUUGGUUUCUUAGACCCUAAGUUUGAACCAUUAUUAAGUUGUUUAGUCUGCAUAAAGUAUUUCUUGGUGUAAUUUUGUCAAUGGUUAUGCUUGUGAUGGCUCCACAUGUCAGUUUCUCUGUUGUGGUUGUCCCUACUCCGCUGUAGAAGUUGAGUUGCCUACUCGUUUCUGCCAACAAUGAUACAUAAACUUUAAAUAACAUUAUUGUUAUCAUUUUUUCUUUAAAUUUAAAUUGAUUGAAGAAAUUUUCAGGUGCACUUAUGACUGCCGGUGUGCUUACGGCAGGUCUAGUUAGCUUCAGGCAAGGAAAUUCUCAGCUGGGACAGAAGCUGAUGAGGGCACGAGUUGUAUUUCAAGGUGCAACAGUUGCAUUGAUGGUUGGCAGUGCUUACUACUAUGGUGAGACCUUUAGGGGUUCUAAGAACAAAAAUUAAAUGAUAUAAAGAUGGCUUGCAGUCAUCUUUCAUCUAUGACUGAGUUUUUAUUGGCAUCAAAAUAAUUUAUUACACGUUUUCUUUCACUUGGGAAAAGAGUGGUAGCUGACCAAAUCUUCUGGAAAAUAUAGUGGCAAUGAAAUAAUGCGCCAGUACUUUCGUGUUUGUAUUAUUUACACAAUUGUAUCAGAAUGUAUUAUGUAAUCAUGUGAUGGAUCCAUGUAUGACAUGAACAUUUGGAAACAUAUUGGUUAUAAAUGGACACUUUGAGUCAAAUAUCAGGAAUUACCAUUGCAAGUAGGAUUAAGGAUGGAUCUCAAACAAGGAUAUGAAGAUGGAAGCAGGGUAGUCAUAUUAUUUUUAGUUAAAUAAGGUUUGGCAAGGGAAUUCAACAGAUGAUAACCAUACUGUCAUGGCUGUCAUGCAAGACUCCAUAUUAGGAUGAACUUUGAAGAAAUUUAGAACUUUGUGAUACCUAAUGGUAGUUGACCUCAAAAACCAAACUAUCAGGAAAUCUGCUUCAAUGCAACAGAAAACUGCAGGAAUUUAGAAGUGGGAAGUGAAUUAUUGUGUGUUUAUGGCUUUUUAGACAUGUCUGAAAAGAAAGAUUAGACAAAUGAAGUGGUGACUAAGUAUGACUGACCAAAUUGGAUCAUGCAGCUUCUUCUUCAAUGAAUGCAUCUCUACCACACCUUAGGCAUAGUAAACUUUGCUUUUGUCAAGCUAGGGUUUGAAAGAAGAAGAAGAAGAAGAAGAAGAAGAAGCCCUUAAAAAAAUAUACACGCUACUAUCAAGCAAACACUUUUCUUCGAAAAAUGAGAAAAAUGAAAGCUGAAGACUUUUUUCUGAUAAAAUUGAUCAAAAAUAUAUUUUAUAUUUUUAUAAGUAGUAUUUCAAUGAUAAAAAGGGAAUUCCAAAACAUCUGUUAGUGGAUCAGUAGUCUAUAAAUCCAACCCAUACAAAUCAAGCCAUUUCAAUGAUCAAAGAUGGAGGCAUAUGAAUUCCUUUAUUACCAAAGUAUUUAUGUGAAGAUGGAUUCUGCAAUUUUGCUGCUUCCACAUGCAUGAAAAGUCUCCAGCUUGAGAUCUUCUUCAAGAUGAGAUCCACCGCUAUGGAGAAGGGUUAGUAACAAUGGCACACUGUCCAUUUCCCAGUCCUUAAUUCUUCUGAUAUAUCCAUCUGUUCAAGUGACAGUUUGGCAGGAAGAGUUGCAGCAGAUCAAAGCCACAAGUGGGUGUUCGAGGAGCUCCAAGAUCAUGAGAUCAAUGCUUUGCCCGGGUGGAGCAACCUUGUUGAUGAUUCUGUGUGUGUGCCUCCGCCCACAUGAUCUGUCUCUUCAUGGUGCAAGCUUCUUUUUGAUGUGUCGAAUUCCUCUCUCUCUCUCUCUCUAUACGAUUCUUCCACAAAGCUUUGUGCUAAUUCCUUCUCACCCAUGCAGACUGUAGCUUUUGAUAUUGGUUUCAAUCUUUUGUCACCAUGUUGCAUAGCAAACUUAAUAAUCCAUCAUCGAGCAUAUAGUUCUCACAGGAUGUCCCAAUUUAAUUCUAAUAUCUUAAUAAUUAAAAACAUUAAUCUAAUGUAAUAGUUCAUGAGUAUACCUUUCUGCUCAUGACAGUUGAUUAAGUUGGAACUGAGAGAAAUCGCAGUGAUGCCAUUUCUGAGUUGUGUCAACCUUUUCUAUUCUUCUUCUUCUUCUUCCUGUUUAUCUAUAUAAUGGUCUAUCCUUCAAAGUAAAUGACCCUUGUCUCACCAUGUUGUUCUUCAUCAAUUAAUACUUGAUUGAGAAUUUUCUAUAAAAACAACAUUGUCACAGUAUUGUAAUUAUGACUCUGUAUCAAUGUAUUCUGAACCAGCAUAGUGAUCUUGACAUUUUAAGAUUGAGAAAGAGAAUGUUCUUAAUGCCCAAAUUUUUUAUGGCAGGCAUAUUACUUUUACUACAUAAGGGUUGUCUGAGCUGCAAAGUUGGCAGUAACUCUGAGAAUAAUGGAUGCUAUCCUACAUUUGGCAGCUAGUGCUGGUCCAAAAGAUGUUAAGCUUUUGGCUGUGGUGAUGUUACAGAAAACCAAUCCUCUUCUCAGGUCCAAAGCAUUCUUCCCUUCAUUCUUCUCAUCAAAACUUUGGGAAAAAACUUAGAACCUGCUGUGCAACAGCCAAGAAAACACAUCCUUAUCCUCCAAGUAUGCAUCUUAUUAUUCAACUGGAAUGAUGACAUUAAUUUUCUCCAUCUCUCUAAUUCCUUUACCCUCAAGACAAAGUAUGGAAUGACAUGUUGUCAUUGACAAAGUAGCAUCAUUGCAUAUGAUUUCAAUUCUCUGCCUGUCCUACUUGUAUCUUCUAAUGGUUCAUUUAAUAUAGACUACUUGAAUCUAUAAUUCCUUGAAAUGGUUUGACAUUGCCUUUAUUAUAUGCCAACAGCUUUGUUUUCUUAGUCUUUCAUUCAUCUUCUUCCUUCAUAUAAAAUUUGCAGAUACAGCACACAGUAAUAUAUAGUGAGAGAAGUACAAGACAGACCUCUUCAAGAAAUCUAUAGCACAUGAAGAAUACUCAAUAGAGAGAGAAGAUGCAAUUGACAUGAACCAGCAAACUAUCCACAAGUCAUUCAAUCAUCAACUACACUGAAAACUUUCACAUCACCAAAGCAACUGAAACAAGUUUUCGCAUCAUAUUACCUUAACUCUACUAGUAAGAGAAGCAACAAGACCAAGUGUAACAUAGAAGAUACAUGUGUGUCCAUGCACAUCUCAUGGUAGGCACAUCUUGGAAAGAGCCCUCAAGACAUGCACUCGCAACCUCAGCUGGAAUAUGUAGUCGGCGGUGCGCGAGAAGAGCUGCUCCGGCUGCAACCGCCGGCCGCCGGGCACGAGACCUUGGAGCUUCCUCACCUUUCUCUGCACCGACGCGCGGGAAGCGCUCCGCCCUUUCCUUUGAUGUCUCGUGCCGGAGAUCCCGUGGCGCUUCGAUCCAUUCCUACGCCUCUUUGCCUUCUCUAAUAGCCAUGGCCUCUCCAUUAGGAAAAAGACGACGGAGAGCAGCGUGAGGCGGAAGCCGAGAUCAAUGGAAAGAAGGAUGAGACUGUAAACGAGGCGGAGGAGGAGGAUAUAUAGAUAAGCGAGGAGGAGUGAUGUUUGCUGCGUAAAAGCCAUGCGAGCCACCUCGGGGGGUGUGGGGCCCGGUGGACAAUGCUAAAGCAUGGCGGCAUUUUGUCGUCUAGCUGGAGGCGGGCCACGUCAUGUCUUGCCCACGUGUCUGACAGCUCUGACACGUGGGACAGAGGGUGUAACAUUCGAUUCCCCUCAUCAAUAGGGUUUACGUGAGGAUGUUUCCUGCAGUACUGCAUGCGUGGGUGUCAUCGUAAUCCACGAAGAAUCUGUAACUUGUUCCUCUAAGAAGAAGUAAGGGAUAGAGAGUUCAUCUUUGUUUCUGUAAUAAUCCAUGUUUUUGAUCUUUGUAACCAUACAAACUCGUAGUAUUCAACUUAAAGAUUCUUUGCAUGCAACUGCGAGAAGCUACACGAAAUAAGUUGGCUGCUGACUUUGAGCACAUGAAAUUGACUUGUGCCCAAUAGCAAAGUCUACCACCUAGCACAAAAAGAAUCUCAAAAGUCCAACUAUGAUCAUGUCUGUCCUCGUUGAUUCAACCCGUGGCAUGUUUCUCAUGGCAAAACAUCUUAGGUGGCCACCAAACACAGCUCUCUUGCCUGAGCACAAACACCAUGUUCGGCACCCCCUUGUGUUGCAGAAGAUGGUGCAAAGCUACAAGUCUCAUAAUGAGACCUAAACCAAUCAACAUGUGUCAACUCUAAAUGAUCAGCAGUGUGAGGAGGGGGACCAUUAGGGGAGGAACAUGGGAAGCUUAACUCGAGAAGAAGAGGAUUAGGAAGUAAACAAAAGAGGCUUGUUGUGUCGUGAGGGAGGUGUUGUUGGCUUUUAGUCUUAGCGGUGGGGGGGAUUAGAUUAGAACUGGGACUGCUUGCACAUGGAAGCACAUGACGAGUCUCUCCUCCUUCCAUGUCCAUUUCUCAGUUCCCGGUUGACAAGGGUGGCUUGUGGUGGGUGCCACGCUACACGAAAAGCUCAGAGUUAUUCCCCCUUCUUCUCUCCCUUGAUGGACCAAAGGUUUAGGUGUUGAGCUACAUUUACCAUCGUUUCAUGUCUCGUAUGGGGUACGAUUGCUUGAAAGAUCAAGAGAGGGGAGACAGAACGGUUUGAUCUUUCCAUGUGUGAUAACUGUGCAACACAGGGGCAACUUCGUGCUCUCACAUGCUCUCUCUCUCUCUUUCAUGAUGGCUGCUUUCUCUGAGCAGUAUGAAAACCAGAUCAGCACCUAAUCAUAGCACACAUGCAUGGUGGAAGAACAUUUUGCUCUCAUCACAAGCAUGAUGAAGGCUUUGCUUCUCCCCAAGCAAACUUUGGAGAGAAGUAUGGGUUCGUCUUCAGCUACUAAUUAGCUUUCCUAUUCAAUUGAGUUAGAGCUAGUAGUACCUGGUUUCUGUUGUUGCUUGGAAGUUGUCAUAACCAUGAGAGAGAGAGAGAGAGAGAAGAACCCUAGCUGUGGCACCAUUGCACUUUGUUUAGUCCAAGUCUAGAAGUUGCUUGGACAGCAAUCUAUUAGCAGUGGAGAUGGUGUACAGUUUACAGUCCAUUAGGUUUAGGCUGUUCAUGGGGCAGAAGGGUUCUAAGGUGCAUGUGCUCCUGGGCUAAACCUGGUGGGUGCAGAUAAUGAUGCAGCACUCAGGGAAACUUAAGCAUGUGGGAAGUAUCCAUGAGAGAGAGAGAGAGAGAGAGAAAUCAUAUGACUGUGGGUCUGAAACCCAGAGAUGAUAAGAGACACCACUCACAAGAUGGGGACACUAGUUGAGUUGGAUGGCAUGUGGAAGGUCUCAAUUGGUGGACUUAAAUCAUCCACUUAUUCUAAGAAGAAGAAGAUGAUGAAGAAGAAGAAGAAAGCAUGGGUUGGGCUGACCAAAGCUUUCUUGACCCAAACUACCAUUAUCCUUAUGUCCAAACUCACAACUCAUGAUCUUCUAAUUCUAUUUCUGAUUCUUAUAAACUAAUUGUGACCAAUUGGAGCAAAUUCCGAAUUAGUUCGAAAUUUUCUUUAGAAAUUCUUUGAUCUUUGAUUAUUCCUAUCAGAAAUAAGUUGUUCCUUUCCAAAACCUGAUCAUGUUACAAUUUUUAUUUCUUGCUUGCACUAUAUUUCAUUUUUCCAUUAUAACAUCAUAUAUAUAUAUAAGAUUAUGCAAGGAUCAUAAUCUAAGAAUGAUUUCCAUAAUAAGACCACCACAGAAUUAAGAGAGAGCAUUUCUUUAGCAAACUAUUCCUUGCACAAAAAGAGAUCCCCUCACUGCCUGAAUACUCUUGCAGUGCUUGUCUUUUCAGGUUCAUUCUGCAGCAAAGAUGUCUCGGCUUCUAUCAGCAAUUUAGCAUGCAGUCUUAUAAUGGACAAAUUCUUCCACAUCUAUUUUCUGGUUGUUAAUAACCUGUGUGUCAGAUUUUUCUUUUUCUGGGGAGAUCCAUCAGACAAGGAAUUCAUAGUCUGACAACUUUAAGGUACUUGUGCAGUACAAUCUUAAUGAAUUUAUACAGAUAUUUCACUCUCAUAACCAAAAGAAAAGGUAGAUGUUCUGCAUCCUCUUCCUGUUCAUGUUCAGCUGCAUGAUGGUGCACACAUUACAGUCUAAUUAGAAACCACUCCAUCAGGUUACUUUCCAUUCAGUGUGGCCUGAUCACCUUCUUCCAUGCUUGGACUAAACUUGGGUCACAUGAUUCAAAGCUUGCUUCCAAGGAAUGCUGCAGUAGGGUGCAGAAGCUGCAAACAGAGCUCAAAGCAAUCCAAUGGAGAAGCAACCUCUGUACUUUAAGCCACAGAUCCUGUUUUCUUGAGGAAGUUUACUGGAUGCCCAUAAUGAGCCCAAAUCCAACUCCCAUCUGCUGAAGCAAACAAAUGGAAUGUGACAGAAUUUGAUCUCCAAUUGGAGUUACAGCAAUGAUCUAGAGAGUUGGGUUAUGGAGACUGGAGAAAGUUUCAGCAAAAUUCCACCUUGGGCUUUGGAGUGCAGAUUACUUGUAAUAGCACAAAAGGGUGCAGGGAAGUUAACAAUGGAACCAGAGAGCAAAACACCAAACCCACCAAAUCAAAGUAUGUCCACACUUGCAAGUGGAGGACACACCCCACACAGGAGGCAAGCCACCAGUACAACAAGCUGCUCUCUUUCCUUUCCCUUCCCCAUGUAUUUUCUUGGUGUCCAAGUGGGCCAAAUGGGAGUAACAUUUGUUACUUCUCUUUGCUACUGGUACAGUUGAAGAAGACAUGGGGAUGGGAUUGGGUGGAUCUGUAGUUUUGUGUGGUGUCCUCCUUCCUUGUUUGAUCUUGUUCUUGAUCCCUCUUCUUGUCUGGUAAUUUCCUGGUUUAAGGGAAAAAGACGGCCUUGAUGGUUUCCCUUCCUGCUGCUUCUUCCUCCUCCUCCUCCUUAUCCUUCUCUGGGUGCAUGUGAUCUGGACUUGGUUUGGAACCAGGAAAGCUUCCUUCUUUUGGCCAAGCUACCUCCUUUUCGUGACCUAGAGUCCCGGAUUUGCUGUGAAGCUCCAAGUUUGCUCGCCGCUCCGUCAGAUGACUCGCGGGUCUGCUCCAAGUCCAUGAGGAAGGAGAUGGUUGUCACACCUUACCAGUCCUCCGGGCCUCACUGGCUUCUUACCCAGGUCAAGAACAGGGGUGGAGCUUCUUCAUCUCACCAUUCCUCUCAUCUUGGUGCCUUGAGCCGGGACUCCAUCCCGUUCCAGCCAUCUCCAACAACAACAGCUGCAGCAGCAGCAGCAUCCUCCCCAACCAGCAGGAUAAGCCCCGCAGUCCUCUUCACCAUUGUCAUCCUUGCGGCCCUCUUCUUCAUCUCUGGCCUCCUCCACCUCUUGGUCAGGUUUCUCCUCAGGAAGCGGCCGCCGUCCUCCUCCAUCUCCUCCUCCCCCCACUCCAACGCCCACGCCCGCCGCCGCCGCAACGCCGACCUCCCGGGCCCCGGCACGCUCCAGCGCCAGCUCCAGCAGCUGUUCCACCUCCACGACUCGGGCCUCGACCAGGCCUUCAUCGACGCGCUGCCGCUCUUCCUCUACAAGGAGAUCCUUGGCUCCAAAGAGCCGUUCGACUGCGCCGUCUGCCUAUGUGAAUUCGCCCCCGACGACAAGCUCCGGCUGCUGCCCGUCUGCGGCCAUGCUUUUCACCUCGGCUGCAUCGACACAUGGCUGCUCUCCAACUCCACCUGCCCGCUCUGCCGGGGAGCCAUAUUCGUGCAGGGGCUGGCCAUCGAGAAUCCCAUGUAUGGGUUCGACGAUUACAGGGAGGAGGAUGAGGAGGGAUUCUCCGGGGACCAGGAAGCGGAAGCCGAUGAGCGAAUGUUCUCUGUCAAGCUUGGGAAGUUCAAGAAGCUGAGCACUGGAGCCAGUGACGGUGCUGUCGACGAUGGCAGCAGCAUGGGCGAGAGUAAAGUAAGCAGAGAGAUAGGGGAGACUAGCAGUAGCAACUUGGAUGCCAGGAGGUGCUUCUCCAUGGGCUCUUAUCAGUAUGUGGUGUCUGAUGCCAGUCUCCAGGUGGCUUUUACAGGUUCCACCAUGAACGGCGAUGGCAGGGGAAGAAGGGUCAAUGCUAUGAGCAGAGAUGAGAGCUUUUCUGUGUCCAAGAUCUGGCAGUGGUCUGAUAAGAAGGGGAAGUUCCCAGUGUGUUCAGAUUCUGCUCCUUUGGAUGGGCACUUGCCAUGGAUCAGGCCAAGCUUGGAGGAUGCAUGAACCAUGGCUGUAAUGUGAUAAAUCCUGUCCUCCUUUAAUGAUGGCUUCUCAGAACUCCAUCUUUCUUUUGCUUCUCUUCCAUUUCAUCUACUUCAACUCUUUUAUAUUCUUUUAACAUGCAGUGAAGAGGUAUAUGAUGCUAACCUUAUGUUGUAGUGAUGCAGAUAUCUUGUGUUAUUCAAGCUUAAAUUCUUCUACUGUUCCAUUUCUUGAAGGCUUAAGAAACACAUCUAAUUGUCAAGCCUGCAGAGAACAUCUGAAGCUACUGUAGCUUCAUAACUGUGCUCAGCUUCCAUAGACGUUAGAUAGUCACAAACCUUGGUUUAGGAUGCUUCUCUGGUCAAGUAGCAUCUCCUGCAAUCAAUGUCUUCUAGUAGAUGGGCAAUUAUGCUCCUGUUUUCUCUCCUUUCCCAUAGGAUGAUGGAGAAUCCAAAGGACUUGGCCAUGGAUUCAGUUGAUGGAUGUUCCUUAUCUAAAGAGAUUGUGUUAGUUCUGCCAUUGCUGUAGGUUUCUUGGAUUUUUGUCUUCAGUAGUUGUCCUGUCAAUUAACCCAGAGGGUCUGUCGAAGACACUAAAUCCAACAACUCAUUCCAAUGAUCUUUGGGGAUGUAUAUAGGAUGAUCAUUGAGUCAAUACACUAUUUAUAUAGAUAUAGAUAUAUGUUUUGAUCUUUCUAAAGUGAAAAAAAAAAUCUAACUGGAAGCUUGAAGACCGAUGUUUCGUGCUAUUAUUUCUACCGAAAAAUAAGAUUUCGCUAUUGAUCGUGCGUGACAUCUGAAGAAUAACAUGUGUUUAUGCUUUUGAAGAUAAAGUUUCAUACUCCAUUAUGGACAUACUGCUUGAUCAAAUCUGAAUUACUUCAAGUAGGCCUUCAGGGCUUCAGACUGUUUCUUCUACAGUAAAUGUUGCUUUGCAUUUAACCAAAGCCUUCAACAUCAUCUCGAUUAUACACUCUCAUUAUAUAUGAAUAAGUUUGUGUUUGUGCUUUGAUGUAACUUUUAAGACUUCUUGUAGUGGUAAUGAUCUUUUAGAAGUCAGAUGGAGUACAGUUGAAGGGAUUCUCAUGCUGAAAGAUUUGGAAUGUCAACAUCUCUGAAGGGUAUUUUGUUCUGAACCCAUAUAUUUCACCUUUUAUCUUGUCACUCUUGAAUCUUACAACUGACAAUCUAUUUACUGUGACUGUUUCAGCAAAGAAUUUAAUGGGGCAGCAACAAACAAACAAAAUCAAUUUAAUUGGAUAUUCAAGCUAAUGCAUGCAAACAAUCAAUGAAUGACUGCCCAUUUGGUUUUGUUAUGAGGUUGAUAUGGUUGUGUUGAAAUCUAGUCUUUUACUGAGUGAUUGGAUGAGACAGAGGAGGGUGAGAAAAUGUCUACAUCCAUCUGUGAGUUUCAGAGUGCAGAUUACAACUUUGAACUCAGCAGUAAAACAACUGAAGAGUCAUAACAACUGUGUUGGGAGUAAUGUAAGAUGAUGGAAAGAGUUCUUCCAACCCCCUGAAGCUGAUUUCAGAUUGGCAGUGCCAUUUUUUGUCUCUUGUUUGCAUGUGUAUGGAAAAUCUGUGAAUCAACAACUACAAAUGCUACUCUUAUCAGGCUUUUUAUGUUUUCCAGGACCAAGCUCUUAUGAAUUCUGACACUGCAAACUGUAAGCCAAGAAAAAGGAUUAUAAUUGAGGCCUCUGCACCACCAGCAAGCAAUGUAAGCCAAUCAAAGGACAGUGCGUCUGAUGUUGUCUGCAUUCACCUCCAAAGAACUGACAAGAACAAAAGGAGGACCAUCCAACAUGGCUCUCUGCUGCCUAUGGCCACUUUGUGAGACUCAGUUCCAGUUAAGGAAGAAUCUAAUGUAUUCAGUGUCAUCAUCACCUUUCCCUUCCACUGGCUAUAAAUUCUUUAGGAUUUUGUUAUUGACUCAAAAAAAAAAUCUGUCUAUUUACCUUUUUAUUUUUAUUUUUUUUUAUGUGAACAUUACAAGUUGUCUCUUUUAAGUGCUCAUCUUUUUGAUCUGUUGUGUAAAAUCUUGAUUUUCUUUAGAUAUUUAAUUUUAUUUAUACGAUCUCGGAAUUUAUGCUUCGGUAAUAAUGGUUUAGACAAAAUCAAUUAAGUUCGAAAAAAACUCGACUUAUAUUAAAGUGUUUAUAAAGAAUUUUUUUAAUUUUAUGUGAAAGAAAGCACCACAAUAUAUUGUGAUCAACAACAAUAUACCAAAAAAAAAGGGGAUCACUUACGGUUCAUUGCACCCUGCGCGAAUCUAAAAGCCAUAGCUGUCGCGUUCUGAUCCGUUCCUUUUAUUAGAGGUUCGGACUCUACUUCGGGCGGCCCAUAUGAGAACUGGGCCGAACGGGAAAACCCUAUUCUCAACGGGCCGGGUAGUGGAUCGAGGAACGAUCCCUGGCCGGCUGCGGAUCCGCUCUCGUCAAGCGGGCGACGGGGUGGGGAUUCUGCUCAGGUGAUCGGCGCUCGUUCUUCUUCUUUGGAAUCGAUCGCAUCCUUUUUCGAUCGUGUUGAUUGAUUGUUCUUGUUCUUGAUCGUGUUUUUCUCUUGCCGGUUCCUUUGAAGAUCGGGAUCUGGUUUUCUAUCUUGCUAUUGUUCGAUCGCCUUUCCUCGGUUGAUCACCGUUUCUUGUCCCGUUAUUGUCGCCUUCGAUGAAAUCUUUGAUCUGACCGCGUAAAUCAAAAUAUUCGUGGGCGGAAUCGGACCGGGCACAUGUUCCGUUGUCUUCACUCGAUUGUACUUCUUGUAGGCUGGAUCUUGUUCUUGUGCUCGAUCGUGUUUGUUCUUGCCGGUUCCUUUGAAGCGCUGGAUCCAGAUCUCCAUCUUGCUAUUGCUUGAUCGCCUUGCUUCAUUGGGUCUGUGAAUUAGCAGGGUUUUUGGGUUGAUCGGCCUUUCUUGUUCCGUUAUUGUCGUCGUCGAUGAAAUCCUUGAUCUGACCGCAUCCCAAUUCGAAAUAUUCGGGACCGAACCGUACCGGGUACAUCUUCCGUUCUUUUCACAUGUUUGUUCUUCUUGUUGGCUGAAUAUUGUUCUUGUGCUCGAUCGUGUUUGUUCUUGCCGGUUCCUUUGGAGAUCUGGAUCCACUUCUCCAUCUUGUUAUUUCUUGAUCGCCUUGCCUCGGUGAGUAGGGGUUUUCCUGGGUUGAUCGGCUUUUCUUGUUCCGUUAUUGUUGCCUUGGAUGAAAUCUUUGGUCUGAGGGCGUCCCGAUUCAAAAUAUUCCGGACCGAAGCGGUUCGGUUCAUUAAGUUUCGUCCGCGGCCAAAGAGGUGGGGCAUUCUAGGUUUUAGGUUCGACGUUGUCUGUCGUCCUGAGCCCCUGUUCUUGAUAUCUCAUCGCGGUCGAGUGGCGCGGACGCGGAGUCAUGAAGGAGGGGGAGGAGCAGCAGGGGGGCCCCCAGUCGCCGCCCAGCAGUGUUGGUGUCGAUGGCGCCGUUGUCGACUCAGCGAUGCCAUCAUCCGAUCUCAAAGUAUGUCCUUUCUAUCUGCUCCUAUCUCAUUAUUUAUGCAUUACCAUGUUCAUGGACAUCAAAAUCAUGGUGAGGAAUUUUCCGCCCCUGGAGUUAAGAGAAGACUUCGAUUCCGAAUCACUUAUGGAUUUGAUUUGUUCUGUUUCUUGAAUUAUUGAUCGUUUUGGUUACCGAAAGAGAGUGCUUUUCAUUCUAUUAGGCAGGUUGGUUCAAGUUACUAUUGCUUACAAGAGGAACUUACCUGUUCCUUGGUGAUUCUGACCGGAUACAUGAUGGCUAUGCUAUAUUUGUAGAUUUACACUUAUGCGGAUUUGUAGUUAAGUGGAGAUUUUUAUGGUACAAUAGUUACUUUUUAGAUUGGGAAAUGAUUUUUGAUAGUGUUCUAUUUGUCCAAAUAAAAGGAAAAAAAAAGGAAAAAGGAGUUUAUGUUUGGCCGGGAUACUGAUCUUUUGCUGUACUGAGAAGAUAAACUGUGGACCAUUGCUCUAGGCUCCUCCAGCCUGUGUGAAGGAUGGAUGUAAAUUUUGAUUACGAAUAUCCUUUUUUAGCAACCUUGCUAUCCUUAAAGUAGGUCUGAAUCUCUGCUUGUCUUUUUGGGAAUUUGUUUUUAUACAAGACUCUUUUAGAUAAAGGCUAAGAGGUGCUGCACAAUAUACUCAAUCAUAGCUGCAGCUAUUUCUAACCUUUAGUCAAAAGGUGAAACAAAUUCAAAUCUUAGCUGAUUCAAACUAUCAAAAUAAAUUAACAAUGACACUGAAUUAGGUAAGUUAUAUACUGAAGUCAUUGUUUGAUUAGAACACAAGGACCCACUUCAACUAAAAUUUUAUUUCAAUUAAGCCUAGAUCUAGAAAAUAUGAUGUGGUUAAAUUGAAUUGCAAUUGUGAAGAAUGUUGAGCAAAUCCACUCUUCCAUAUUUGUGCUUGAUAAGGUGUUUCUUAUUGACAUCUGAUUUUUGGGAGAUCUGAAUGAAAAAGUUUUCAUAUUCCAUGGGCUGUGAUAAAGGCAUUAUUUUGCUUUUGUGAGUUGAUUGUGUGCUAUUGUGUAAUGGAUAUGGCUGCAUGAAACAAAUAUAUGGCUGCUGCAUGCCUGCAUAUUAAGAUAGUCAGGAAAGCAGGUUUAAUGGUCAAACUUUAUUAUUUGUCACUUACAAAAUGUCAGCAAAAAGAAGAAUUUAUUUUAAGGAUCUUGUUGUGGAUACCUCGACAAUAGAGCAGUCUUAGAUGGCUAAAGCUCAACCCAUAACUUGUUACAUCAGUUUCAACUUCCUUUGGAGCUCAUGCACAUCCAACCCUACUAUUAAUACUCAUUGCAGCUAUAACACCCAUAGGGGAUGCUAGAUAAGCAAUGAUCAGUAGCUGCAACAUUAGAAAAUAAAUGUCAAAAAUGAGAUUUUUUAUUCAAGCCAUUAUUAGCAAACUCCAUCAUAAAAGGUGGAACAGCGAGCAAUAUGGAUUAUAUCAGAUAGAGUACAAGAAUAAACAAGAAGAAAAAGAGGAUUCGAGUUUGAAGAGGGCAUCCACAGUCUCAAACUUGCCUUUUUUGUGUUCUCUGCCAAUAUGGAUAUAAGAUAUGUGAGGCUUCUAAAGGAAAGUGAAUUGAGACGUCAAACUUGUAGGUAGAAAAUCCAGGCUGCUUUUGUUUCUCCCAUGUACCAUCUUCUGUUUAUUAUAUUAUUACUGCUGAAUACGGGGAAGAGUUUCCAGAUUAGCAAAAUAUUUUUAGAUGUACUACACUGCUGAAUACGGGGAAGAGUUUUGCAAUAGAGUGGUCAUAACUGUGGAAUUGAUAUUUGAAAGAAUUCUUUUGAGAUGCAUAUUUUCCAAUGGUUUAAUACAUUGUUUCAUAUUCAGGAAAGUCGAAAACUGCCUGGAACAGUUAAUUGGGGUACAGCAACUAUUGUUGGAGUAUUUGCAGGACUGCUAUAUGGUGGAAGCAAAGAGGCUUCUGCAUCUGUGGUAAGCGUUUUUUUUGGGGAAAAAGUUUGGUUUAGAUUGUUUGUCUUAUUUCUCAUUAGAGAACCACUUACUAUACCUUCACUGUAUUGUAUGCUUCACUGGGGACCCCUUUUUUAAACAGCCUAUAUGCUUUAUCGGUCAAGCUGACAACUCGUUUUGACUACUGAUUUCUGGGACUUAGUUGGAAAACUCAUUAAUUGUUAAAAAUAUAUCUUGAUAAGAAAUUUGUAUCUGUUAGGGGCUAAUAUCUUAGAUUUUGCUCUACAAGUCCUUUAUGAACUCAGAUAGGUUGAUGGUUUCGUCUGCAUGGUAGCAUUGUGAACUCGAGACUGAGAAGGGCUGUGGUCCCAACUUGAUCAGAACUUAGGAUUUCUAUUGCCUUGUAUCUUAUUCUUGACUAGGAUUAUCUAUCAUAUGGAAUGACGGCACGCAUCGUUAUAUUACUAAUUUCAUUGAAAAACAAGCUCAUUCAUUUUGUUUCUCUUCUUUUUGUCAUGCAUUAUCACAUUUAUGGGAAUCUUUGCCUUUAUCAUUGUAGCAAGUUUCAUGCACGUCUAUUUUUGCAAUUAUUUAAAUGCUGGGGUCUGGCCUAUUACAUUUUGCCAAACAAGAUCAACCAAAAGCAAGCAAAGCAACGGCAUUGUGAAAUUGCUUUGGAAGUCAGGGGUAUAGCAGUAUAGGUGUGUUGAUGUAAGAAGCUGGUUUUUUAUAACUUAACUGCCCCUUUUCUAUUGAUUGGUAAGCAUAUUCUAUCUUGUCAGAGCAAGGAUGCAGAAGUUAUGUUGAAGCUUGGGAGUACUCCAGACAAGCGUGAACAGUACAGAAUAAUGAGAGAUGCAAUGGAGAAAAGAUUCAUCCGUGUAGCUCGUGGUUCAAUUGUUGGUGGUGUUCGCCUUGGCAUGUUCACUGCAGCAUUUUAUGGCUUGCAAAAUCUUCUGGCUGAAAAGCGUGGUGUGCAUGAUGUGUAUAAUGUGGCUGGUGCUGGUUCUGCAACUGCUGCAAUGUUUGGUCUUAUAAGUGAGACAAUUUGACUAUUUUCUUCUGUGUUUUACCUACAUCUGUCUGAUCAAAGAAUGGUUUUCCUUGACAAUGAAGUAGCUUAUUUUUCCUACAAGAGAUUAUUUUACAUAGGAUGCUCUGAGUUAUUUUCUGCCCACUAGUAAUACUAAAAAAAUUUGAUCAUGUAAACUAGAAGAAUUGAUUUUGCCUCUAUAUUUAAUCAAUUAAUAUUCUUUUUGUUUCCAUUACCUUAUUUGACAAGUGUAUCUCUAUUUAGUUUGAAUGUUGCCUGACUUGAAAUCUAUACUUCUUAAGGCUGUGGUAUCAUGAUAUUGCACAUGUGCAAGCAAUAUAUGCAUUAUUUAUUUAUUACUAAUGUUUUAAACUAUUAAUUGCUCGAUAACACAGACUAUGGCAUCCAAUGAUGAUAUGCAUAUUGUAUUCUGGAUUUCUGGAUGACUGACUAAUUUAUCAACCAACUGUUUCAGAUUUUUCUCAGACACCAAAUUAUUGAUGACUUCAGCAUAUGUAGUCACCAACUUUAUUAGUAGAUUCAUUCAUGUUUUGAUAUUUAACUCUUAUGCUUGUCAUCCUUUUACACACACAAAACAUUAUGCCGAUUAUUCUUAUCAAUUAAGUAUCUUAAUCAUUCUGUAUAUGAAUUGUAGAGAAGAUUAGGAAUGGUUAGUGGGUGUGUUAUCAGCUAGCAUUCAAAUUUUUAACUCGUAUUGUUCUGUAAUAUCAGUGCCAGGUUCCUUGAAGUGGCGUGCUAGGAAUGUGUUGCUUGGUUCAGUCCUGGGAGCUGGAAUUUGUUUCCCUUUAGGUAAUAUAAAUCUGUCGACUCCUUUUAGAUUGUGAUACGGCUUGUGAUUAUAACCUAGCUUGCAUUCUGUUACUUCUAUCGAUAACAAUGAAAGACUUAAUACUUUAUGUUGUUUAACGUGAGACACAAUGUUGAUUCAUUGCUUUACUUUGCAAGGUUGGGUACAUCUGAAGUUGGUGGAGAAGGCAAAUGAAGAGAGAUUAAAUUCUAAACCUUCUGAUCUGGAUGAGGAGGAAGAGACUAAUAGAAGCCGUGUUGGUGCUGCCAUAGAGAGGCUUGAGGGGAACCUACGCCGGUAGCAGUUAUCUAUUACCUUGUGGAAGGAAAAAAUAAAGCAGACCAGGAGGAAAUAAGCAGGCAGAUAAGGCUCAGCUGAGCAACAGAAGAAUUUACUGGUUUUCCUGACCUUGCGCCGUGCGAGACAGUAUGGUUGAUCCAGAAUUUUCACUGAUUUCUUCCGGAGUAAUGAUUCUUUGCUCAAUCCAAAUCUUUUUGUGGUAAAACCACAAACUACUUGGUUUCCAUACACGGAAGGCCAAGGCCUGUCAGCCAUCAUGGAUAGAUGUUGUCUCGGUUAACAAAUGGUAAUGUAAUCGCUUUCCCACAAGAUCAGGAUGUUCUUGACAUUAAUAUUGUUUUUGUUGUGAUGAUGCUAAAUAGAGUAUAAGAAUAUUGGUUUCUGGUUUUAACUGUCGUCGUUUGUUGAUGUUCCAGUCCAGGAAGGUUGACUUUGAUUUGCUGUAACCUACGGCAAAUCUGCAUGAGUUUUAAUGCCCUUUUUAGGGAACAGUAAAGCCUGGAUAUAUUUCUGGUUUGGCAUUGGGGUUAGAAGCGGGCGGCACCGAGUUGGCAUACACGGCAACCCAUUCGGUAUACAUGAGGUUGACCAGAAGUAACGAAGUAGUUAUACACAUUGUAUUAAAGAAUUUUAAGCAACCAAUACAUGUCACAAAGCCAAUACCUUCCUAGUUUCAUAAAUAUUGUAUCAGAACAAAAAGCAACAAGUCGACGCUGUAUCGUACGGUUUCUACCACACCAACAAUAACAGGACCAGACAAGGCCAGCGAAAAGGAAUAGGAACAUAAAGACUGGACGACACCACCAAGCCGAUCUACCAACAGGUAACAAAAAGGAAGCCCAAUCCGAUUACGCUAACGUGCGUUGACCACCCUUUCCAGGUCAAAGAACACCUCAGCGCCCGCUGGCGGCUGGCGGCGGCGGCGCCGGGGCAGCGAAGCGGGCAGAGAAGUCGCGGUGGUCGUCGUAUCCCCCCUCGGGGCUGUCGCCGCCCUGGCCCUCGUCGAAGUUGAGGGCGUAGCUCAACGGGUCGUACUGGAACCUCGCCAGCCCCCCCGCCGCCCUCCCCCUGUUAGGGUUCCGCCCGAACCGCCGGAGGAAGGUCUUCCACCUCGGCCCGGCCACCAGCUCCGACCACUCCCUCCCCUUCAUCAUCAGCGCCCUCAACCCCGCGCCGCUCCACCACCGGCGACGCUCGUCCCCUCCCUCGGCGGGCGCCGGCGCCUGGAUCCGCUCCCAGGGGCUCGAGAAGGGGAAGCAGCAGCAGUAUUGCCGGCGAUCGGACCCGGCCGACGGAUCAUCGAACGGGUCGAUGUUGGCGUCCACCUCCAUGUGGCGAAUCGAAUGGAUUGGCUGAUUGAGAUACAGAAAAUUGAGACUGAAUGAAUUCGUCUCCCCUGUCAAAGAGGACAGAGAGGACGACGGCAAUAAAUAUCGUCUAUUAUAACGGUUUCGGAGGCAAUGUAACGUUACAACUAAAAGAUCUUGUCACGGGUGUCAGACAUGUAGCGGCUGUCACGAGGCGUGUUGUUGGACGCCACACCUACCGAACCUACGGGGCACAAUCAUGUUCGAUGUCACGCCUAACGCCGCCGCUUAACUCACGACUCAAGGACGUGGUGCGUGCGCCACAUCAUCCCCCUAUCGUAACUCGAGCAGUGACCCGAAGCGGCGGGCUUCACUCAUAUUGGUCGUCGUUUCUCGAAGUCUCUGGACGAAUUAAAGAGAACGAAUCCUUUUCCAAGUCUGCUUCCUUCAUGCAAACCACACGACGGAAAACACGACCUGUGGAAUCCAUAUCAGUAUCGAGAGAUGCAGGUGAAUACUGUUAACUCCUAAAUCUGAAAUUAUCACUGAGCUAAUGAACUCUUUCAAGAUCAUUCGAAUUAUGAUCACAACAUCCAUCAUAUCAUACAAUGACUUGAACAAGAGAGAAGAUUUCUCAUUUGAGCUGUGAUGAGUAUAUAUAUACAUAUAUGUACAUAACAAAACAUAUCUCCUCAUUUGUACAAUGGUACUUCAGGGGAACUACAACUUCAUCUGUAAAAUCUACCAUCCUGCUAAAACUACUACUCUUUCUUGAUUUAUCAUCACUAUACCAUGAGAAGCAACAUGAUCAUCUACAGUUCACAUGACAAAAAAAAAAUAAAAUUGGAAACACAUGAGGAAGCUCAGACAUGGUAGACCAUUGCGACCUCCAAAGUCGAAGCAUGAGGGAUGCUGAAAGCAUACAUGUGGCCCCUGCAGUUUCUCCGCAAGAACUCAUACCCAAGAUCGAUCGCCAGCCGCUUGAUGAGGCUCGACCCGCUCUUUGCUCUCAUGUACUCGUGCCCGAGUAUGAAGGCCAUUCCUGCCUCCCUUGCUUCCAGCAGCUCUUGCAACUCUUCCUUCGCCUCUUCCUUUAUUUUCGGGCUCCUGGGCAAGAGAAACCUCACUUGUUUCUUUGGUACUAUCACAGGCGAGAGUAUCUCCCUAGAGGCUGAUGGGCCUGGCGCAUCUUCAGCUUCAACUUUCUCCUCGCGGAUCCUCAAACCUGUCCCGACGACUGUCAUUUGCCCAUCAUCCUUAUCGGUUUCUUCAGCCAGACCGCUGGGCUUUGAUCCUUCGGACCGGAUGAACUCAGCAAUGCUGCAAACAAGAUCCCUCUCGAACUCCAAGUCAUCUUUUUGUAUGUCUUGGUACCCGUAUCGGACGAUGACCCUGUAAAGCCUGUAUUCCUUUGGGCCAACCCGACCGACUAGGAAUCGUUCUUGGGGGUCGACGUACGGCAUUGGCACUGAUUUAAUGCAAAGGAAGACAACGACCUGAGCCAGAAGAAAUUUAAGAAUGGCUUGAUAUAUUACGUAAUAUCAAAAUGUAUUGAUAAAGUGAAAAUGCAGACAUAUAUUUGAUCUACUACCACCAUAGUCACAAGUAUUUAGACCACCUAAAAUUGAUAUGUAAAAUGUAAAAAAGAUUACUCGGUAAUACCUGGUGAAAUGCAGGCAAGUUGGUGACGAAGUGGGAGAAGAUGGCUGGGAUUCCUGAUACGAGCUCAGUGUGUAUGAGGCCAAUGCCUCGCACACGUACAAAGCCUAGAGUAGGGCCGAGGCUUAGAAGCCAAUUGAUGGAAACCUUGUUCUCAACAUCAAACUCGUACUUCUUUAUGGUCCCAUAAUGCCAGAUGUACAUGAUGAUCAUAAAAACGAUGCACAGUGCGAGAGGAAACCAAGCUCCUUCAAGGAACUUGAUUAAAGAUGCCGAGAAGUAGAGCGCCUCAAUUGAACCAAAGAAAAGAAUGAAGCAUGCAGCCAGAAAGAUGCUUUGAUGCCAACAGAGGACAAUUACGAGGAACAUCAAGCAGGUGGUGACCAGCAUGACAGACAUGACUGCUAACCCUGUUGCAAAAGAUGAUAAAUCAAAAAAUUAGCAAAUUGAAAAGGUUGCUUUGCAUAUGAAUCAUCUCGAUAGACAUCAUGUACAUAAAGUAAAAUAAAGUAUUAAUCAUAUGCUACAAGCUUCUGAUGGCUACUAUCAUUACCACAUCAAUAUCCGGCUACAUUACACUAUUGUCAGGUAAUUUAGUUACCACUGUUAGUUGAUGACACAUCCUUUUUCUUUCUAUUCCUAUUUUGCAUGCUGAAAGCAAGCAGAAGUGACAGAAAGGCAGCAAAAGCUGUAAACCAAGAUACUGCACUCUUGGAAAGUACAAAGGAAGCGAACAAGCACUACAAGACCAGAGGUGGCAAUGACACAAGGGAUCUAGAAAUUAUGAAUGUAAUAGCGUGAUAACCACAUUUGAUUAUUUAUACAACAUGGAAAUUGGAAUGAUAGAGAAUGACACACAAUAAAAUGGAUUCUAUAGCACCAUAUAGGAUUAAAAUGCAAUAAGAAAACAAACAAAAAACAAAAACAACAAGAACAGCAGCAUGAUGCUCAACUUAAAAUGGCCUAGUAAAUCAGCCGAGCCACCAAUCAACCUUUGCUGAUCCUAGACACCCCGAUUUCUCAAGCUCAUAUGAUCUUUUUUAUCCUAAUUGGUCCCUGCCAAUGCUGAAUAAUACCAGACUAAUCUUGGCUAAUACCAUGAGUUGAUCUCAAGGGAUCUCUGGAGUCCGACCAAUUAUAACCAAUUAACCAGGAUUGUUAAUCCCGGCCAACCUGAAAUCAAAUUAUUUUACUUUAAUCAUUCUUAUCGAAACCUGAAGACACGCCACCAAGUAUGCUUUUCUGUGGUCAAAAAAACACUUAAUAUAAAGAUAAACACUUUCCAACAAAGAAAAUACUCAUUAAACAAGAGACCAGCCGUCGCUUCUAGCAAAUGGACAAACAUAUGUUGAUCCCUACAGACAUCUUCAAACUUCAUUUUAAUUUAAGAAUGUGCAAUAAUCAUUACCAAAAGACGAUAUAUAGAUUUCCAAAUUUUGUUGUGGAAGAUUUUGGAUACAAAAAUUACAUGAUCUAGAUGAACAGGCACAUUAAUUUUAAUAUUAUAAGACCACUUGCCCAUGAUGAAAGUACAAAAUCUAUAUCAAAAGAUGGGUGGAAUAUGAACAACUCCAAAUGGCAUAAGUAGGAAAACAUAAAGAAUAUACCAUUGUGAGAACAGAAAAAAAUUUCAGAGAGAUAAAACCAAAAGGGUUGGAACACCUAACAUGAGAAUGGCAAGUAAUAGUUGUUUGAUACUUUAUAUGAAUGUAAUACCUGAUGCGUUGCCCAGGAGCUUUGUGUCUCUAAAUCCAACAGUGACAGCUAAGCAAAGUGUCAUCAAAAUCCAGUUGAUCUCUGGGAUGUAUAUCUGACCAUGUAUUUUGGAUGAUGUAUGCACUAUCUUCACCCUAGGAAAGCAUCCCAAGGCAGAGCACUGUUUAAUGAUUGAGAAAGUACCCGUAAUAACUGCUUGGCUUCCCACCACAGCAGCAAGAAUAGCAAUUGCCAUGACUGGCCAUCUUAUCCUCUCUAUCAAAGAAAAUUACAAGUGAAUCAUGCAAAAUCAAGCAUUACGAUGAUUACUGAUCCCGAAAGCAAUUUCAACCUAACAUAGAAGGUAACUACCUGGUACAGAUACAUAAAAUCCAAUUCGGUAAUCAGUUUGGAUGAUGUGAUGCUGAGAGAGAUAAGCAGCUUGUCCCAUAUAAGCAAGGAGCAAGGAUGGGUAUACCACAGAAGUAAAGGCAAUCUGUCCAAGUGCCGUUUCAUUAGAGAGCUAGAGUGGGUGACCCAGGCCACAAAUCACUUUGAGCAAGAUUAUUAAAGCAAUUUUUAUUAGAAUAAUCUAAAACGCAGCAUUCUAUCUUGAUACCAUAUAAUGAUAUUAUGUAGGAUGGAAAAUUAGGUGUUACAACCACCACAUAUCAAGAUUGCAUCAUUUUAACAUAUUUCAACAAAAAAAAAAUUAGUUAACAGCAGAAUCUUAUGAUCAACUCAGUUGUGAUCAUUUUGGCUGGCAUAGGGCACAAGGUUCUGACCAAUAUAGCCUUAAGCCAGUGCACUUCAAUCCCAUUUAAUUUUUAACUCUUCUUAGUUAAAUACUAUAUACUUUUCUCAAUCCAAUUUUUUCCAUUAUUCUAGAUCAUAAUGAGUAAAAAAUCACCAUACGCCAUAAACCAGAAACGUCUGAUGGUCUACAAAAUCAAGCAAGCAAUGUUUCACCACUCAAGUAAAAUCAAGAACAUUAUGAGAAGGAAACAAACUUAUAGAAUUAACAAACAUGCAUGUUCACCAACAAUAAUCCAGAUCCAUUCUCUCUUUUUUCCUGUACCUUUAUUGACAACGGUGAGAAAUGUCCCAGAUCAGCAAACAUAGCUUCGGAACCUACAAUAAAGUAGAGAAUGUAGAUUCAAGCAUAACAAGAUUUAUUUCCACAAAUGAGCAACUUCGACAAACCUGUUAUGCAUAGCAGAAUUCCACCCAGUGACAUCCAGCCUCCUCUUUGGGUCUUCUUCAAGAAGUUGUACAUAUAAAAGGGGGAGAAGGCCCGAUAUACACGUGGAUUCCAAUAGAAUAUAUUGUACACACCAAUGACGCUAAUGCAUAAUAGCCAGAGCAUAACAAUUGGCGCAAACAGGAACCCUAGUCGGUGAGUACCAUAAUGUUGCAAAGCAAACAAGCAGACCAAUAUGAGACAUGCGAUAGGAACCUCGACAUCUGGAAAUUGAGAACUGAUAUAUCAGAAAAAGUAUUUAACAUCAACAACUAAGAAAACAAUGACCAAAUAGCCAGUGUAUAAAAACCACCUCGAUUAGUUAACCACUGAAGAUUACAUAGCAACUACUUUCCAGUCGCAUUAGAGAUUAGAGAACAUUUUUCUCUAAUAUGAUAUAUUAGCUAAUUAACUAAUUUACUACUAGAAUACACAGUAAUAGCUACUUCCAAUCUCAUUAGAACUUAAUACUUCACUAGCAUAAAUAUCAUAUAGCUACUAGAUGCAAGUGUUUUAAGUAUUGCUACAUUUCAACGAGCCAUAGACUGCUUUAUUGUACAGUAGAUGGGGAAAGGAUGAGCAUAAUGGAUGAAAGAUUUCAACUUUAAAAGUUAAGGAGAAAUAUAUGGAGUAGCAACUGAGAUGGUACAAGCUUGUCUAAUGAUGAUCUUAGAAGGCUAUAAGCUGCUAUGUUAUAUUUAACAUCGUUAACUUUAGAUAGCACGAUGAGAAUAAUAUACUCUAGGUCAAUAACAAACAUUAUGGAAAAGCUCAAGGUCUCAAACAAAUAGACGUGAUUAGACAAAAUUCCAGUGAAAAAAGAAGUUUAUUGUUGAUUAAUAAUAAAACAGCAAUAUGCAUCAGAUUAUUCUAACGAUAACAUAAUAGGUGAACCAUAAAAAACAAAAAAAUUGGAAAAAAAAACAUAACGAGUCUUUUCUAAUUGAUACAGAAAUUAUAUGACAAGAAAUACUGUUGAAUUUUGCAGCCAUAGAUGAUUAGUCAGAAGGCAAAGAACUUGUGUGCCAAUUUCAUCCACAGCCUAAACACAGUAUGAUAAAUAAGAAGUUACACAGAGAAGAGAAGAGCACUAUCCAAUGGCAGCUACAUCUGUCCAUCUACAUCUAGUUCUUGUAAACAUAGCAUCUGUGUAAAAAAUAUCUGUAUUACAGAAUAAUUUCCUUACAUUUGUGAUGUUCCUUGGACAUAGCAAGCUCAAGUCCUGAGACUGCUGAGAAAACUGUCGAUGUCAAAGACAAUAUCAGAUCAAAGAAGCGAACAAAUUUACCACUAAAAGAAUCCAACAAAAAAAAAAAGAAGACAGGGAACAAGGUACAACCAGAGAUUGCAGGAGUGAGGAUACCAUCAGCAAUAACCAUGCAAGUGCCAAUCAAUGCAAGAAUCAGCAGCAUAAGCUGCAGCGCAUGAUGCUUCUCCAGUAGUCUCUUCACAAUCGAUGCAGCAGCACCACCACCAGAGGCAGUACUAUCUUUUUUCUUAUAGGCUGAGAGCUCCACAUCAGCUAGCUGGCCACUUGGCAAGAAACCAAAGCUCCCGUGGCGGCACAGGAGCGAGUAGAGAGCAAAUGUGCCACCUUCACCAUUGUCGUCAGCUCGGAGCACUACGAAGACAUACUUGAGGAGAGGGAUGAGGGUGAGGGUCCAGAAAACAAAGGAGAGCACGCCGUAGAUCUCGUCAUUGCUCUCCGUGUGCUCGAUAUCAUCGGCGAAGGUGCUCUUGUAGACGUACAGUGGCGAAGUGCUGAGGUCCCCAUAGACUACUCCGAGGCUUUGGUAGGCCAGCAUCAGAACUGACCUCCAAGAUUGUUUCUGCAAUCCAAAAGGGAAACAAAAUCUUCCUCCUUUGAACACAAAAUCCCCUCAAAAUCUGAACUUUCAAUAUGAACUAAUCAAAUUAUACAAUCCAAAGCACUUAUGUUAGCUUAAAAUCAACGAAAAACUUCAAAAUGUUAACUUCGACAAUGGGAGAGAAAAGUCUGUAAACCAAUUAGAACUCCCAACUCGGAAGCAGGAAUCCAUUACAAACAUCAAAAUCCGGAGCUUAACGUAAAAGAAGUAGGCAAACUACCACAGAUAACAGAAGCUCUAUCGCGUCCUACGAGUCGCAAUCCCUAGAAACCAACUCUUAUGUCCAAACUUUGGUACAAGAAAAAAAAUGAGAACUUUCGACAUCACAAUCUUAAAAAUCUAGACUUUAAUCCGGAAGCAAACUCCAACCCACCUUGAUAGUUCGGGAACGCUGUCCCCUUUCGAGAUCCAUUGCCAAGCGAGCACAACCUCACACACCCAUGGUUAUUUUUCCCACGGCAGUCGAAGCUGCAGAAGAGAUGCACAGUAGCAGACAAAAGGGAUUAGGCUUCAAUUCUUUAUGCAGAUGCGAGAAGGUGGCAAAUGGGAGUAAGCUUGAGAAUCCAAGGGCGGAUAUAUCGAAGAAGGAAACACUGAGGGAUUAGGAGGAGAUUAGAAUAUUAUUAUUACAGCCCUGUUAGCUCUACUUCUUUGGGCUCUGCUGUUCUUGCUCCUCUUCAGCCACAAGACUUUUUUGUCCUAUUAAUAAACAGAAAAAAAAGUCUCUCUUUUUAUUUUUUCUCUGGGGGCUUCUCAAAUCUCAACACAAAGUAGGAGAGAGAGAGAGAGAGAGGUGGUAGUUGGGUUAGGGUCGGACCUAANNNNNNNNNNNNNNNNNNNNGUGCUGUUCUUGCUCCUCUUCAGCCACAAGACUUUUUUGUCCUAUUAAUAAACAGAAAAAAAAGUCUCUCUUUUUAUUUUUUCUCUGGGGGCUUCUCAAAUCUCAACACAAAGUAGGAGAGAGAGAGAGAGAGAGGUGGAUGGUUAGGUGGCCAAUUGAGGUGAGGGAAACAGAGGGAUUAAGCUGAAAAAGGCAGUGGUUUUACUUGUGGGGGUGAUGAAAGGGAGAGAUUAUAGGCCAAGGUGUUUGUUUAUGAAGGAAAGGUGAUAGCUUGGUGCUCCUUUUGGUGCAAGUGGGAAUUGACUUAUCAAAGGGACAAAUGCCCCUGACAUCACCCAAACAAAGGAGGGAUGACCACUACCUGCUUGCCUUUUGGUUUGAACAAAUCAAUAUCCAUUCCACACCUUUUGAUUUGUCUAAUCAAUCAUCAACCUCCUAAAGACUACAAGUAAAUUGCAGCCACCUUUUUUUCCUUUCUCUGCAAGAAACUGGGUUUUAUGGAUGACACAUCUCACAUGACUUUUUGUGGUUUGAAUCAUAAAUCUCUGUAAAGGUGGAUUAAGGGAAAUGAAUCUUUCCAUGAGCAAAAAAGACAAGUACAAGUUUCCUUUGUGACCAAGUGAAUUUUAUUUAAGAAUAUCCAUAGAUUGCAUAUUUUGGAAAGCUUGUAGAGGUUAGAUUAUAUCAAUUAAUUUGUCAUUUUAGCAUGUGAAUCAAUUUGUAUAUCUUUAAUAUUAAAAUGUCAUCCAUGGAUGCACUCUUUGUUUGUGGUGUUAAUGUACAGAAGAAGACCAAGAAGAACAGCAAGAUGGAAAUAGUCAAUUUAGGGGGUUUUGCUAUUCAUUUGAAUUAUAAUCUCAGUAAUCAUAUUUUCAACAGAGAAUCAAAUCCAAUUUGAUCCUGCAUUGUGGUGUUCUUCAUGAGCGAAAUUAAACCUUCAAGAGACAUGAUACACCUAAUCUCAUUUCCUUUUUCUAAAGCACAUCCUGUGUCUUUGGUUUAGCACAUGAUUUGAAAACAGUGGAAGAACACAAAUCAAAUUAUGCUUCCAUUGGAUUUCUAUAGUGUGGAGACCUGGAUUUAACAUUAAACAACUUCCAACAGCUACUUUGAACUUGAUAGGGUCAUCAUACUGUCUCUUUAGAUAACACCAAUUGACAGGUGCUUCAAGCCAACAAAAACAAGAGUGAGAUACACUGUCAAGUAACCUAACCUAUACCUAUGAACAAGUUGACAUUUGUAAUUCUUGUUACCUAACAAUAAUUAGCCCCACAGAAUAUUUUUUGACUGCUUUAAUACUCAAAACAGUUCCUACAGAAAAGCCAUGGUCUUUAUGAGUUGAGUGAGAAUGAUGUGAUUACUGAUAGGAUGUCAGUGGAUAGCAUAAAUAUUUGGUUGGCUGUCUACCUACCAAUCCAAGAUGGAACUAUGGCUUGUUCUCAUUAUAUUCUUGUCUAAAUUUAUCUAAUCUUACACCUUGAAAAGAUAAUUAGAGAAAUAAUAUUGUAACAGGACAUCUAUCAAGCUAAAAAAGCUGUGUAUAUAUAUGAAUCUACCAAUCUUUUCUUGUAGCCAAUGGCUAAUAUACAGAAUGUUCUGCAGUGGACAAGCUUAUCUGAGUUGAGCUUUUGUGAAUCUAUCAAUCUUUUGUGAGUCUUUGAAUCAUUCCUUUGUUUCAACUGGUUAAGUAAAAAGUUGCAGGAUAAGCUCAGGCCACUAAACAAAUCCACCACCAGAUCUGAAGAAAGGGUGCAGUAGUAAGCCUGCAUGCGCACUAAACACCAUUAGGUAAGUCUUCAAGAAACUUUUGUUGCUGCUUUUGUCUUUAUUUUAGUAUAUGCUGUGUGUGUGUGUUUAGGUUUUGAUGUAUUGUGUCUAAUACAUGGAUCCAUUAACAUCCAUCCUUUGAAACCUUAUGGAUCAUAUGGUUCUUUACUGCUAAUUCUCAGAAAGCUCUAUAGACAAGUCACAUGAUAUGUAGAGCAGCUUAGUUUAAGGUCAUCAUCUGCAGACAUCGAGUUUUGAGGAUUCGGAUCCAUGCAUGCAUCUGAUCCAUAUCACUGCCAUGAAAACUGGAUGUUAGCUAAUGUCUAGUGAUAAGGGACUAUUUGGUUUAUCAUUCAUACGGUUCGUACCCGUACGAUUUUGUCCUCCCAAAAAUAUCUUUGAAGGUAAGAAAGAUCUAACUAUAAAUCAUUGAUUCUGAUACUCCUCAAUCAAUAUGAGACUAAAUGAUCUUAUCAUCGAGCAUAGUCAAUUGCACGAGCCAAGAAAGUCGAACUAAGAAUCAAAAAUCUUCUUUGGGGCAUCGAUUUUCUCCAACAAAUGUGACCUUUCGAACUGUGACUUCUCAUGUUACAGUGACUUGAAACCAACAGCAUUUCUUCCUCCACAAGCAUCUCUGUUUUUUGUUUCUGGAAGGGCUCUACAAACAUCUCUUUGGGUCUUGAAGAAAUAAUAAGGGAGUAUUCUUCAGUGUUGUAAUGCAUAUAUUUAUAUAGUCAACUCUGUGAUUAGGUCAAACUGAGACUUUGCCCGGUUGGACUUGGACUAGACUCCAUGCCAAGGCCUUCGUCUUCUCAACUUGCAUGUCUGCUAAAGCAGAAGCCAACUAUGGCUCUCCUCUUGCAACCCACCACAUGACAUCCACUGGUUUCAGACUCUUCAGCCAUGGCUUCACUCUGUGAGGUGUGUUGCCCCCAUCUGGUGGGACCUCCCUGCCAUGCUCAAGAUGACCUCAUGCAGAGACUUCGUUCCCCAUACCCAUACCCCAGCAUGGCCACUGCAGGUCCUCCAGCCUUUUGCAUCACAAAAGAGGACAAGAGAGCUUCUUGCACUUCACCCAUUUAGGCUUCUGUAACAUCAAGCUCUUCUGGUGGGCCAUCCCAGUGGAGGGACCUACACAGCCAUGUCUCCAUUUGCUUGGUGGCUGCCAAGUGUUGCAGGUGAUCAAUGUCCAGCUGCCAUAAUCAACAAUGGUGGCCACCAACCAUGCCAUAUGAUGAUUGGGUUUGGUGCUAACUACAAGAAGGAAAUUAGGUUCUUGUCCAUAAUUUGGCCUACCUUUGAUUAAGCCUAUAGAAAGCCAUCAAUUCUAGUGGUGAAAAAUAAUAUCCAUGCAUCAUCAAUCAUGAAUUGACUAAUUCUUUAUGCCUUUUUUAGGGGAUAGACCAUCAUCAUCGUCAUCAUAGUCAAGCAAUCAAUCAAGAUAUCCAUUCCUUUAAUAAUAUAAUAUUUUUAUCAUUGAGGGUACAUUUAUUAUAAUUCAUAAUCAUUGAUUGAAAAAUAUAUAAUAUAUAUAAUAUUAUAAAAAAAUCUAUAAUAUAGUGAAAAAGAUAAUAGACAUAUUCUUCAUCAUUAUACCACCAUAAAUAAAUAUAUUUUUUUAAUAUAUAUAUAUAAUAAAUUUAAGACUCAAACGAUCCAAUUGAUCGAUCGAUCUGAUCUAAGUUUUGCGACUAUGAUCAUGAGCCACUCAUCGAUCGAACCAUGCAUGAGCCUCAUCUCAUCUAUCGUCAACCAACAGAGGAUCGACGGUUCAUUUUGGGUCUGAAUCGAUGGCGGGUCUCCUCUUUCCUUGUCUAUCUAUGUAGUCUCCUAUGACUGCUUGAUAAGAGACCACGUUUAUCCACUUGGAAGAACGGCUCUUGUACGGUCUAGUUUGACUCCGUCGCAAUUAGCUGGCUCUAUAUAGAUUUUAUUGCGCAGGAUCUGCCGACAGAUCCACUUAGAUUCCGUCAUCCACCACGACGUCUCAUUUGUCGGCUGUCCUCAUCACGCAUCCGAUGGCGGAAGCAAAGCACCCAAGACGAAAACACUGGGUGUAAGCCAGUUGACUUGGUCAACUAAUAUGGGUCCCUUCCCCCGCGGCCAGUAAGAAGGCUCAGAAUGUCGUAUCCUGCUUGAGCAAUUACAUGUCAGCCGCGACCGGAUUCAAUUCCGUCGUCGUCACCGCCCGUGUCAUCUUUGUUGCGCUAUGAUAGGGUGGAUGGAAAGGGAUGCAGCUGAGCCCCGUUCUUCGGAAGGAGCCAUGCACGUUCCUGAGGAAGAAGGCUACUUCUUCUCUGGUGGGUAUUGAGGCAUGGGACACCAUGACCGCUCACCCACUCUUAUUGUCGUCUUGCGAUUGCCUGUUUCGUGUGGUUUAGGGUUCCAAGUUGAAGUACGAACAAGCAAUCCAAUCUCAUCAUCCAUGGCCACGAAGUAGACAGGUAUCUUAGUCUGAAAAAUCCAAUCUUUCAUAGAUAUUUUUUUGUCUAUUUUGGAAUCGCAGAAGACAAAAAGAUUCCACGUUGAAACAGCCUUAGCCAUGAGAAUUCUUUCAAGGGAUACAUCUUUGCUACCAGGGAAGAAUCUUGUAUUUAGCUCUGGCUGUUUGCCCCCACCAAGAGAAAUAUGACAGGGAGCAUCUUCUAGAUAUCUUGGUUGAGAUCAACCAGGCAUCAAGUAGCACAACAACAUAAUUGAGAUGAUGCCAUGGACUUCUUACUAAGAUGAUAGUGAGUCUAGUAUACAGCUCAUACCAUGUAUGUCAUACCGACCUGAAUAAUGUUCAUGUGAGGAACACUCAAAUUGGCUGCACCUGCCCGGCAAUUCCUCCUCAAGAAUGCAUAGAAGUAGUUUAUGACGAGCUUCUUCCAGAACCAGGACUCCUUUCUUGCCCUCACAUCUCCAUGGGCCAACAGAUAUGUGAAUCCAGAAUCCAUUGCUUCUCUUAGAGCCGAAAGUUCAUAUUCCAAACUGGGAUCUUCGUCGGAAGUGAUAGAGCUUGACGGAAGCAAUGAAACUCCUGCUUCAGAAGUAGCGCGAUUUCUACGGAUUCCUGUAUCAGAUAACAGUGGAAUUUGCAGUUCAUCAACUCCACUCGGUGCAGCGGAAUCUUGGGACCUUACAGACUCAUGAUCAUGCUCGAUGUCGAUUGGACUCGUCUCCAAUGCAAGCUCUUGAGCCUCCCUUCUCAAAAACUUCUCAAGGCUCUCCACCAAGAGCUGCUCAAAAUUGUGGUGGUCUUCCUUCCGGAUAUCCUUGUAUCCAUAACGGGCAACGCAACGGAACAUAUGGUAGUCCUUCUGGCAGACUCUCCGAAACAAGAACCUUUCCUCUUGGGGGACAACCGGAACAGGGACAUACUUGAUGCAGACAAAAACGAUGGUGGAAUGAAUUGCAGGGAGGGUAAGCAGAAACUGUCCAAAUAUUGAAGGAAUGCCUUGGACUAGCUCAUUGUACACAAGUCCGAUGCCAGGGACCCUAACGGAGCCAAGGGUGGAUCCAAGCUCAACCAUGAAGUCCAUGGAUAUCUUCUCUCGAAUCUCACUCUGAUACUUCAACACACUUCCAUAGUUCCAGGUGUACAUGACACAUAGAAAGCAGGUAGCAAAAGCAAGAGGCAGCCAGCCGCCUUCCAUUAUCUUGGAAAGAACUGCACACAGGUAAAUAAACUCUACUGUACCAAAUACGGCGGGAAAACAUAGAGCAAUAAACAGAUUGGUUUGCCAUAUAAGAAGCAUCACUAGUGUCACCAAUGAAGUGCUCACCAUCAUCACCAGAACCUCCGCAAUACCUAGAGAAAGAACCAAAUCAGUCAUUCAGCUCCGCUAUUUGCAUUAAUUUAUCAAAACAUCAAGAAAUUACAUGAAUUACAUAGGUCAUCUAUGAGAUGGAAAUUGACAAUAUGGCCGAGAGAGGUGAAAAAAUAAAGAUGAAAAGAGAACAUGAAGAAUCCAGCAAUAACUAAUUAAAAAUUAUAAAUAAAUAUAUAAUUCUACAGGAAAUUUUGAAAAGGUGCUUCUUAACAAGAAGAUAAAAAGUCUAGUUACCAUAGGCAUUGGCGAUGUCUGUAGUAUUCCGGAAAGUAGCAACAACGAUUAUGCACAUAAUCAUCAGGAACCAGUUGAUGACAGGAAUAUAGAUCUGACCCAUGAAUUUCCUGGAUGUAUGGAUAAUCUUAAUCCUGGGAAAGCAACCAAGGGCCAUGGAUUGCUUUAUGCAGGAAAAUGUUGCUGAAAUCAUGGCCUGACUGGCAAUCAUGGCCGCGAGCGUGGCAAUGACAAAGACUGGCCAGAAUAAAAUAUCUAUACAACAAAUUGACAUCAAAUAAUGUGUAAGCUAGUUACAAGGUAAAUCUUUGGACUAGAAAAUUAAUCUUUAAUUUAACUUAGAUUGAAUAGUAUAGAGAAGGCUCACCUGGGACAGAAUCAUAGAAGAUUCCUUCCACUGAAAAUGGAUGUUUCAUCAAAUACGCAGCUUGGCCCAUGUACGCCAAAAGAAGACAUGGAAAUACGGUAGAUGUGAAGGCUAUCUGCACAUACAGUAGGAGUUAGUGAAUAAAAACUGUCUUAAUUGCAGGGGUCGAUCACGGCAUCACCCUAAAGAAAGAUAACUGUGAUAAACCUGUAUAGACUUUACAGAGAAAUGGCCCAGGUCAGCAAACAUUGCUUCAGCUCCUACAAACAUGAAGCAAAAGGAAAUUCCAUGAAAUAUACAUAAUAUGUCAAAGCAGAGGUCAGAAGCUAGUCAAAAUACAUUUAGCUGGUAAUAAAGCUAAAAAAAGCACUAGGGAGGUAGGAAAAGUUCUCUCAACACAAUGUAUAUGCCUACCACAGCCACAGAAAAAAACAUAAAGCACAAUCACGUAUAUUAUCUCUUUUGGUUAUUUGCACUGUAACGAGUAUUGCAUCAGGUGCUUUCAUCAAUGCAGUACCCAAAAAAAAACACAAGAUGCAUGGAAACAUAUUAAAUCAUUCAGAUCUAUUUACGAAAGGCAUCCCUGGCAUUGACGAUUAUUCAUUAAAUAAUUAAGUUUCCUUAGAUCUUCCUCUUACUGCAGCUGACUCAAUGUGGUGCUUAUCAUUUAACCAAGGAAUGUCGAAACUUUAAACUAUCUGGAUCUACAGUAGCAGUCAGUUACGAUGUGGAAUUUGUUAACUCAUUGAUACUCCAUGGUACAUUGCCUUUCUCAAUUUUCUUUUUGUCUGUGUCAAGAUGGCGGUACCAUGUUGUCACGGCCUUCCGCUGUAUCACGCCAAGUGGUGUGCCAGUGUUCUGUAAGCACAACUUUAGCUCACUCUCACCAUAAUAUAUCACAAUUUUGAUUAUACUCCUUGAGGGCGAGCGUCGACACCACGGUCAAGGAAAUAAACUCGUUACUUAAAAAUAAGGGUAAGACUGCCUUCCCAGCCCUUGUAUCAAUGAGAGACUUAUAAACUAAGCAACUAUUUUUAUUUUGAAUAUUCUCCUUGCACUAGAUGAACUAAAUAAUCUUUAAUGACGACAAAACAAACAAAUUAUUCUUGAGUUCCCAUUUUUUUAUCUUAGGCUGUUAAGAUAAUACUAGAUCUACCUACAAGAUAUUCUAAUACAAUCAAAACAACUAUGACUUAUUAAGGCCAAAUAAUAAAAAUAAGCAUAUAUGUUACUCAUCAAAACUGACCUACCAAGUUGCUCUAAAUUUUGACCACAUGACUUUAUUCAGCUUGGACAUGAUUAUAUUCUUCACAGGAUGCAUUAGGGUUAUUACUAGCUUUGAGUUAGAUUUAGCGUUAACGAUAAAACUAUCCUCAAUCACUGUAUCAGAAGUGUGAUCUAUGGUGUGAAGUGUAAGCCAAUAUCCUAAGUCAUUAUAAUCCUCAAUCACUAUAUCAGAAGUAUGAUCUAUGGUGUGAAGUGUAAGACAUUACCCUAAGUCAUUUUAUAAUGUCUUCAAAUCUAGAUUACCCAUAAAACUUAAAGAUGUAAGUGAUGUCGAGUCACUACACUCUUCAUGGCUAAUGGCUAUACUUCCAUUGAAGUACAACAAGCCUUAGCCACCCAAAUCCGGAUUAAGCCUUUUGGUAGAAUUCUGGGGUUGGCGCACUUCCACAUGCUUAAAAUACGGUUGGUGCACCGCCACAUUAAAGUCCAAGUGACCGCACUCCUCUUUACUUUCUUGCUCUUUACCCAUCUAUAGUCAAUAAACCACACUAGCCAAUGACAGAAUUAUCUGAAAACCAAAUCUAGAGACUGAAAUGUUGAGAUUUGAUUCAUAGUUAUCUAGGUAGUUAUCAUGAUCUAGUAGUUAUAGGGUGAUUUCAAUAACUACCUCAAUCAUGAUCUAGUAGCUAUAAGGUGGUUUCAAUAACUGCCUCAAUCAUGAUCUAAUAAUUAUAGGGUGGUUAUUACUAGGUCCUAUAAAUAGGACCAUAGUUCAUGAAACAAGGUAUAUAGAGAGUGUGUGCACUUGGGAAUAUCUUGUAAGUGUUCUUGUCAAUCCUCCUGUUUUUAAUACUAUAAUAGUAUUCUGUUUUUUCCUUGCUCCUCCAUCCCCAACAUUUGUGGUAUCAGAGCCUAGUUUCAAUAUGAACUGGGCAUUAUGACUUUCAACGGCAAUUCCAUGUCUCAACCCUUAUCCCAAUCUUCUCCAGCAAAUGCUAUGAAUUUUGGAGUAUCAAGAUGAAGACUCUAUUCAAGUCUCAAGAUCUUUGAGACUUAAUAGAGAAUGGAUAUGCGGAUCCGGAUGAUGACGACAGGUUGACUGAUGAAGGAUCUAGUUCGAAGAGGAACAAGGGUGGAAAGAAGAACAGAAGAGGUAGAGAUUAUGAGGAUGAGGAAUGGACAGGUGAGAUCGAAGAAGAGAAUGAUGCUGUUGGAAUUGGAAAUGCCAGGAGAUCCAGGCACUCUACUAGAUCUAAAGACCCAAAAAGGCCACGUAACGAUAAUUUAGCUGGUACAAAGAAACCUGUGAAAGGCAGAGAUGUUAAUCGUUGCAAGGAUGAACUCGACGACGAAGAGGAAGACGUUGAUGAGUGACUAUAACAAGAAGGAACCAGUUUGUGUUGGUUCAUGGAAGUUUAUUCCGCACUACAAAAAAGUAAGUUGAAUUCCCUUUGUAUCUCAUGACAUGCAUAUAUGUACUAUAGUUGAGUAAUAGCCCAUCUCUGAAUCUUUUCUCUUUUCUGUAUACUAACCAGAAAAUCUAGAAUUGUUUACAAUGUUGUAGGCCAAUCUUAGUGGUUUCAAGACUUGUUUUGUCAAAAACAUAGUAAAAUAUCAUAAAUUUUUUAAUGUUGGGGAUGGAGGAGCAAGGAAAAAACAGAAUACUAUUAUAGUAUUAAAAACAGGAGGAUUGAUAAGAACACUUACAAGAUAUUCCUAAGUGCACACACUCUCUAUAUACCUUGCUUCAUGAACUAUGGUCCUAUUUAUAGGACUUAGUGAGAAUCACCUUAUAACUACUAGAUCAUGAUUGAGAUAGUUAUUGAAAUUACUCUAUAACUACUAGAUCAUGAUUGAGAUAGUUAUUGAAAUUACUCUAUAACUACUAGAUCAUGAUUGAGGUAGUUAUUGAAAUCACCCUGUAACUACUAGAUCAUGAUAACUACCUAGAUAACUAUGAAUCAAAUCUCAACACUCCCCCUUGAUUCAUAGUUGCAUGUACCGAUUUGCGACAUAAAAUAAACAUGCUUUUGAACUGGAAGCGACUUGGUGAGGAUAUCCGCAACUUGUUCAUUUGUUCCACAAUACUUCAUUGUUAUGGCUCCACUUGCUACAAGAUCUCGGAUGAAAUGAUAGUGUAUCUCUAUGUGCUUCGUUUUUCCAUGAAAUGUUGGAUUCUUCAUCAUGACAAUAUGGCUUAGAAGACUUCUUGAAGAUCUUCAUCAAGAACAAAAAGAAGCAACAUAAAUAUUUUGUGACAAUAAAGUCAUAAUUACAAUGACGAAGAAUCCAACAUUUCAUGGAAGAACAAAGCACAUAGAGAUACGCUAUCAUUUCAUCCGAGAUCUUGUAGCAAGUGGAGUCAUAACAAUGAAGUAUUGUAGAACAAAUGAACAAGUUACGGAUAUCCUCACCAAGUCGCUUCCAGUGCAAAAGCAUGUUUAUUUUAUGUCGCAAAUCGGUGUAUGCAACCAUGAAUCAAGGGGGAGUGUAGAGAUUUGAUUCAUAGUUAUCUAGGUAGUUAUCAUGAUCUAGUAGUUACAGGGUGAUUUCAAUAACUACCUCAAUCAUGAUCUAGUAGUUAUAGGGUGGUUUCAAUAACUACCUCAAUCAUGAUCUAGUAGUUAUAGGGUGAUUAUCAUUAGGUCCUAUAAAUAGGACCAUAGUUCAUGAAGCAAGAUAUAUAGAGAGUGUGUGCACUUGAGAAUAUCUUGCAAGUGUUCUUGUCAAUCCUCCUGUUUUUAAUACUAUAAUAGUAUUUUGUUUUUUCCUUACUCCUCCAUCCCAAUAUGAAAACCACUUAGAAGUUAAUUAUUUUAAAUGGUUGAUGAUUUUAAAAGACUUACAUGAAGUUAAGCUGGGUAUGUGAACAAACAACGAUUAUACGCAUUAAUGUACAGAAUCAGAUUUCAGUUUCUUCUCAUCUUUAGAAAUUUCAACCAGUGUACUAGGAUAAUCAAAUUAAACAAAUUAGGAAAAUAAUAUUGGACAAAAAAAAUCCAUAAUGAAGUAUUUGAAAAGAAUCAUUAAGAAAAAAAAAAGGAUAAUUAUCUGAAGUUAUGUAGUUAAAGAAACCUGUGAUGCACAGAACACAACCGCCAAGAGCAGACCAUGCUUUAGUGCUGUUUCUCUUGAAAAAGAAAUAUAUAUAUGCUGGAUUGAAUGCUCUUAGAACAGAAAUAUCAUACUUAAGUAUGUUGUAUAUUCCAAUGGACCCCAAACUGAAGAACCAAAGUGCCAAAAUAGGAGCAAACAAGAAACCCACUUUGCCGGUCCCAAACCUUUGUAUACUGAACAAUACUACAAGAAUUACAAUUGAGAAAAUGACCACGGCAUCUGCAAGAAGAAAUUAAAAUAUCAUGAGUUGACACGAAAUUGACAGUACUAACAAUUUCAAGCUAAAAGGGAAAAUAUGGCACUGUAAUGGCUUGUGCAUGUUGGUUCAGAUGCAACAAAAAACUGUCACCAACCUGUGUCGAAUCCUGAAAUUCUGCCUUGAAGGCCGCUCACCGCAGACAUAACUGCACAUGAAACGGCUAUGAGAUAUAAACAUUAAGCAGAGUUUAGACAGCAUAACCACAGCCAAGGAACUAAUCCCUACUAGUUAGAAAUGAGAGAGCAACUGCAUGUGAGAAAAAUAAACUGGAAAACUGAUGUACCUGACAUGGAUGGAGUAAGAAUGCCAUCUCCAAUUAUCAUAGAGGUACCCAUCAGGACCAAUAACAACAGAAGACGUUUUGAAAAAGAAUUUUUCUCCAAGAGUUCUUUUAUGUAUAGUGCUCUUUCUAGCUCUGGAGUAGGCAGCUUGAGCCUAAAGCUGGAGAUAUCUUCAUCGGCACGCUGCUGAUUUGGAAGUAGACUAACCUUGGCAUAUCUGCAUAUCAGUGAAUACAAUGCAAAAGUUCCUCCUGCAGGCACAGAUGCAGUGAGUGUGGAACAAUCAGAACAUAGUGUCUUUCAAAUUGAAACAUGAUACAUCACAAGCAAUACAAAUAAUAAAUAAAUGUGUAAAUAUGAUAUUCAUUUUCUCAGAUAAAUAACUUGAAUUCUGUAAAUUAAACAGCUACAUGUGAAGUUGUGAAAAGGCAUGGAACUUUUCCAGAGUCUUUCAAUACCUUCACCAUUGUCAUUUGCUUUCAGCACUAUAAAGAUGUAUUUUGCAAAAGGAAUGAGUGCGAUUGUGUACAUCACCAAGGAUAAGGCACCCAAAACAUCAACUUCUGAUUUAAUUGGGACUUUGCUGAAGACAUCACUAAAGACAUAUAAGGGACUCGUGCCCAUGUCACCAUAAACAACACCAAGAGUCUGAAAUGCCAUAGCAACCGUGCUCCAGAUUGAGAUGUCCUGUUCGAUUUGUAGUGAAAGAGUGAGAAAGCAAGACGAAGUUAGAUUCCACCGAUACCACACUAUACGGAGAAAAGCUCCAUCGACAGAAUAGGAAGCAGGACACCGUAUACCACACUAUGAACGCAAGAAAAUCCAACAAAAUCGAAAAUAACACGUUUGUCAUUAGCAAGAGCAAAGUUCCAACGACACAAUAGGAGGCACCGAACACCAAUGACCCGCCUCCCGAGAUGGUACCUUUUCGCGACGCUUGUGAGCGUCGGCGAUGUCCAUGGCCUCCACGUCCAGCGAGUCCACGCUCCGCGCCUUCUUCACCAGCCUCCGCCGCAGCGUGGCCUGCAGCUCCGGCCCCAGCACCAACGCCUCCUCCUCGAUGGACCACGGCGGCGACUCCGAGUCCACCUCGCUGCCGUCAACCCACCGCACCGUGCGGGCGCUGCUCGCCUCCUCGACGAUCCCGCCUUCCUCCAUACCUUUCCUACCCCCUCACUCCUCCAAGAUCGGAUUUUGGACGCCUCUUCCCCUUGGUUCUUCCCAGCCGAAGCGAGGGAGAAGAAGAGACUUUUCUAUCUCUGACACUGAAGCCAGCACGGUUCUCGUAGAAGCGGAGUUGUGUUUGGAGACAGAGCAGGGCCCACAAGGGGUAACCUUUUGGGUGGAAUCGACGGUGGGUCUAAUGGCGACGUUUGAAACGUGCGCUGCUAACCAACGGUUACGUGUAUGGAUAUCGAUGAUGGGCAUAAACAAUGCACAUGGUAGCAUAACCCAUCCUAUAUAUUCCUCUCUCACCAGUAUAUUCAAUGUUGGUCCGGAAACCUGCCUUGUGAUUGGGACAGAUUUCGAGUCAUUCUUGGGACCCACCUAUCAGCCACCGAUGGCCACAAUCAAAAGGCUGGUAGAUCAUUUGGUAGAGGAGAAUGGGAAGGAAAAGAAACAUCGUGUCAUAUUGGUCCGUGUCUUCAUAUAUUAUUAUGGGAAUUAUAUCAGAUAUAGGGAUAUCAAAGAGACUUGGUGACACCAGUGAGUCAACUAAUUGACCCAUGGUUCAAGAAAAAUAUUAUUUUCGCUAUAAAUACUACAUUAUUGUGUAUAUUUUAUGAUAUAUAUAUAUAUAUAUAUAAUAUUUGAUUUGUUUUUUCUUUGGUUUCUUGCACUUUAUUCUCUCCUUUCUGUCAACAAGAUAUUUCGUAAUACUUCUUUUAUUUUAUUCUUAUCUUUUUUUUGAAAUUUAUAUUUAAUUUUACUCUCAAAUUUAUUAUUAUUUUUAUGUGUUUACUAGUUUAAUUGAUAAAAAUUUUAAUAAAUCAGACUUGAAUCUUGAUUUUAUCACUUAUUCAUUAUAAAAAAAUAAAAAUGAGAUUGACUAUAGUGCUUCAAUCACCAUCAAUAAUAUAAUACUUUAAAUUAUCUUUAUAAAAACCUGGAAUAGUCUUGAGAGAAUAUUAAUGUGAGAGAUAUCGAUAAUGUUUGGAUUAACCCAAUUUGGUUCAAAUCUAUGUAAAAAAAUUUAAGUGAAGUCGAGAAUAUCUUCGAAGCUUAAUUGAGCAUCGACCUACACAUAGAUCGUUCAUCGUGCAUCCAGUGAGGUUCUAGAUAUGAUUUAUCUGAUAGUUUAAUUAAUCAUGAAACAAAAAAUAAGAAUUGUAAAUAUACAAUAAUUGAUAUCGAUUAAAAUUUUUUAUAAUAUAUUUUUUUUAUAUGGGUGAAAUAUUUUUUUUUAUUUUUUUUAUAUCAANNNNNNNNNNNNNNNNNNNNAUAUAUAUAUAUAUAUAUAUAUAUAUAUAUAUAUAUAUAUAUAUAUUAAAUAUAUAAAUAAUACUAAAUAUAUUAUUAAUUUAUAUUUAUUAUUUUUUUAGGGAUCCAAUAAAUAAUCUUAGAAGAGUUGUAUGUCUACGUCUCAUGUUAUAAAGUAACUUUCCAAAGGAGAACCUCUUAUAUAUAUGUCCAUGUUCUUUAAUGAAUUGAUACUGCUAUGAGAUGAGUUGUAUAUGCCUUAUGAAGACAAACAAUGCAAGAGCAUUUGAUUAUGAUGUAAUGAAAUUAAAUUCUAACAUAUAGAAAGAUGAUCCAAGUGUCUUUUCCUUUGUCACACCACAAGAAUUUACCCAUGCAAAGUGGCUUCAUUUAUUGGGAAGGUGGUGAAGCUGAAAAUGAUUGAAAUCUAUGUGUCAAAAGUCAAGUGGAUAGCUGUUUCCCUCAACAAUGCCAUGGUUUUCUUGUCUUCACCUCAAAACAAAGCAUCACAUCAUUUCUUCAUAUGACUUUGUGCACUCAUAUUAUAUUACAAUAAGACGACAACCAGUCACAGAUCUUUUUCAUGGGUUUCCAGUUAUUGGAUAUCUCUCUUCACAAUUGAGUGAAGAAAGGUCCUUGUGAUCACCUCCAAAAAGUAGCAAAAAGGGUCAGAAGAAAUGACUGGAAUAACUCUGGCUAAAAGAAACAUACAGAUUGUAUUCUUUUCAUCUCUUCCAUUCUUGUGGUACUUCAGCUGGAGAUUGGGGUUGUGUUCCGUGGAGCUCAGCCAAAACUCCAUCUCCUUGUUGAGUCUGCAUGAAGGUUUCAGGAAGCAGAUCUCUGCAGCUUUUACUCACCUAACAUCAGAAACAGAAGGGUGUUCCACAUAUCAAUGGGGCCAGGCAAGCACCAGUGCACGCAGUCGUUGUACAGGGUGACGUUCUCAUGCGCCCAAUGGCCAUAUCUACUCGGAUGCCCAUCGGGCCUCAGCAGCAUCGCUCGCGUGGUGUCCAACAUCUUCAACUCCACUCCCUUUGCCCUCCCCACACUCUCGGCUUCCCUGAACUCCUCCACUUGUGCCUCGUAGAACUCGAGAUCCAAUCCCUCCAGCCUCGUCUCGUUGCCCCGGAACGGCCUCGUCCUCACGCAAUUCCCUCCCUUGUUCCACUCCCCGUUCUCGAAGUGCGACGGCGAGACCGUUCUCAGGAAGACCUUCCCCCCGAAGCCAUCGAGCUCGGUGAUGGCGCGGAGAGCGGUCCGGAAGGCCAUCCUGUGGGAGUACCGCAGCGUCAGGUCGGUGACGUUGUCAACCAGGCAGAAGUGGCAGCCGACGAUCACUCCCUUCUCGUAGAACAUGGCUGGCCGAGUGAACCAGUUGCCAUCGGAUAUGAUCACGUAGUCGAACUCGCGGAUUCGGGACGCCCAGGUGUCGUCGACCUCGUCGAGGUAGAGGUUCCACAGGCCAGUAUGGUUGGGGCCGUCUGUGUCUGCUUCCUGAGCUUUCACCAGGAACGGCGACCAGAAGGUUGAGAUGG
rnacentral:lncRNA from 1 species